rnacentral:rRNA from 12 species
GUGAACUGCGGAAGGAUCAU